AGAACUUGCAAGAAGGAAGAGAACUCCAUCAGGUAGCAAUUAUCUAUACAAGCCAAUGUACAGCAGGGAGCCUUCGGAAAGCCCUAUUUACACCUCCUGCUCAAGCUGGCUGGGAGUGCUCACCAUGGGAGGCGAGCGGACUUGGACUUCCAUAAUCGUACAAAUCUAACACGAAGGAAAACUGCGCCUCUCCGGGGAGAAACUACAACUUCCAGGGUUCCGCGGAUUGAAGGCUUGGGCUGUUCUCGGAGGCAAACUACAAUUCCCAGAAUUCCGUUAACCAAGGGGUGGUUCUGGCCUAGGGUCCGAGCAGCUGAGCUCGCGAGCCUGCGCACGUGCACUGGCUGCCGCGCCGGGCUCGCCAGCCAAGCAGGCGCAAGGCGGGCACCCGCGAGCCCCGGCGGCGGCGGUGGGGUGGGUGCCGUGGGACCUGCCCUCCAUGCCUGGUCGUCCCGGGCUCGGGGCGGGGUCAGGAGGCGGCAGCGGCGGCUGAUUCAGCCAAAGCCGACUACGCGGAGGGCCCACCGGGACGCUUCAACGCCACGGAGCCCCGCCUGCGGGCUGCAGACCAGGACAUGAAGGCUUAAGAAUUGGCCCAGGCAGACGCAGAAGGACAAAUACUACAUGAUACCACAUGAUCCCCUCUGUUCCAAGAAGCACUGGAGGAAGGUGUCGAAGAUGCCACCACGCCUGCAGACACAGAGCUGGGCAGCUGGUUGAGGAAGUUGAGGCUUGAGGCGUUAAUCUGCCAAGAUCAUAAAACCAGCUCACACCUAGGAUCUAAAGGAAGGAAGAACAAGCAAACGAGGACCAAGGUCGUUGGGUGCCCCGUGAAGCCUGUCUCCUUUAAGAGUUGCAACACAUCUCGUCCCCCACCAGCAUUCGCUCCCCUGGCCUCCUCCCUGCUGCAGCACCGAGGGCUCUCAGCUCCUCAGCCGUCAUUGGUCCAGGAGGUGGCUGGGUGGGAGUUAACCAUAUCAGCUGCCUGAGUGGACAAGUUAUUCCAUGGGGAGGGAGAACUUUCUGCCCGUAGCUGGAUGUAAACCAGGGAAGCGUGUUGCUUCAUUUGAGGGUGGUGGCCACGUCAUGACCGUGAGAGGAAGCUGCCCAAGGGGAGAAGCGGCAUCCCAGGGAGGCAGAGCAGAGAGGGCGAGUAUUCUCUGACAGAGUCCUUUAGCCACCAGCCCCACCCAGCCAGCCCAGGCUGGAGUGUGGCCUUUGAGCAGGGUGGGAUGUGUGGGCCUUUAAUUGGGCUCGCCCCUCCCUGAUUUGAGUCCUUUGAAUGCCGUGUUUCUUUUUCUUCUUCAUCCCCUGCCCUAUUUCAAUUAAAACCAGGUUUUCUGUGUCUUGAUGGUUUUGAGCACAGUGUUUAGAGUCAGAGGACGCUAGGUUAAUAUCUAGACUUCACACUUGCAUGGCCUUGGGCAAGCGUUGAACCUCAUUGACCUCAGGUUCCUCACCAGAGGAUUGGGAAUAAUGAUACUUCAUAGGGUUGAGGGGAGCACCAAAUGGGAUGUUGUACGUAGAGGCUCUGGGAACCCCUGAAGGCAAGGCAGGCUUGGAGCAAGGGCCAAGCUGGAGGCCUCUGUUAGGACAUCUGUCUUAGCCUUGCCCAAGCAGGAAAAGGGUUUAUUUUUCUUUUCUUAUUCUCUGUGUGGAAUGGCCCAUGUCAGAGACCCUCCAGCCUCCCCAGAUCCCAUCCCAUUGGAGGCUCUACUCAGACGGGGCUGGUUUCCUUGGCCCUUCACAGAUCACCGGACCUUCAUACCCACCCACAGAUCCUAGAUGGACAGGACAUUUUUCAGGGGGCACUAGGAGGAGACAAAAUAUAUCAUCCUGGGUGACCUGUGCCUCUGAGGGCUACCGUCUUUCCUCUUCCUUGUCCAAGGAGCCUCAUGACAAGACCCCUCUGGGGCAGCCCUCAUCUCUGAGAGGUAGUCCAGGUGGAAAUGUGUGGGGUCAAGUCCUGACCUGUGGACAGGUCCUGACCAGUGGCCCUGCCACUGAGACUGUUUCUGGAAAGAAAAAAUGGGGACAGAGUGAACCAUCAUGCCGCAUGGUGGUAAGGAAAGAAUCAGUGGGGUCGUGCAUGCACGUAAGGGACGCCGAACGGCACUGGGACAGCGGGAACCAAUAGGUGUGCGGUGCUUUCCACAUCUGACUGCAGACGAGGUGGAGGCUGCCCCCUGCUCAGAAGCGGGUUCACUCGGAGAGAGAGGACUAGAGACAGCAGGUGAAGGAGGGGUGAAUUCCAGCUCUGUCUUUGAGCUGUGAGGUCUCAGGAGAGUAAGUACAAAGGAGGAUGGACUGCUUCGGCGUGUGAGGGAGCGUCCUGUCACUGCAAGUACCUUGUGAUGCUGGGAUUCUGGCCCCUCCACCCAUUUCAGCAGAGCCAGGUGACAGAGUCGGGCAUGGAGGCCUUCAGUCUGAAGGAGUUCUCAUCCCUGAUCGCCAUCAUUCUGAGUAGGCUCUUGGCGCACAGAGUGGCACUAAACAGUGGGUCAGACAUCAGGACUGGACACAGUACGCCCUGUCAGCCCGUCUGGCGAGCCGCAGUCCCGCAGAAGGCAGCAGCUUGGCUGAGUGUCUUUCUUAGUCCCCAGUGCCAAGGAGGGUGACCUGAGUUCUCCCUCACCGUCCUGGUCUCCCUACCACUGCCUUAUCGUCACUGAGACCAGUGCCCUCUCCAGGAGCACCGAAAAUUGGCCUGGAGAAAGGGGACAUCACCCACUCCGUUUUCUGGUAAGCAAACUUGGCCCAGUUAUUCGCCACCAUUUUGAAUUUCCUCCUGGAGUUUUUUCAUCCAGAAACAUUUUCAAAUGGUGAUGGACAAAGGCCUCUUUUAUGUUGUUUAGUGCUAGGGGUCUGAUUGACGUGCUCUGUGCCUCCACUGUUAUCUUUUGAAAACUCUUCUGAGCAUUUUGCCCGAUCCUUGAGUUCUCCUGGCUUAUGCGGGCUGCUGCAGUGCAUUUGGGGGAUCCGGGGAAAGGGGACACAGAGGGAGUGUGGGAAACAGACCGAAAGAUACUUUACAAUAACCAUUGACUGGCCAAGUACUUGUUGGUUUUUUCCUACUGCACUUUGGCUACUUCACAGCAGGUGAAAAUGCAAGGGUGGCUUGUCAUCUGUCUUCACAGUGGCAAAAUACAGAAAUAACUGGGUUAGUUAAUGUUCCCCCAGAAGCAGAUCCUGAGACAAAGAUUCAAGGAGAAGUAGAUUAUUUGAACUGCAUCCCAAUAAACAUGAAUAGGGGCAUGAAGAACUGAGACCGGGAAGGGAAAAGGGGCAUGCCUCAGGCCGAUUAUGGUGUGGGCAACCGCCUAAUCCGUCAGGAACUCUGGUGCCGGUGUAGAACGUGCCUCCGAACUCUCCUACCUGGGGAGGAUGGGGUUUUCUUUCUUUAUUUUUUUUUCUCUCUCUUCCUUCCUUCCUUCCUUCCUUCCUUCCUUCCUUCCUUCCUUCCUUUCUCAUUCGUAUUUUAAUCCCAGCAUAGUUAACAUACCGUGUUGUAUUAGUUUCAGGUAUACAAUAUAGUGAUUCAACAGUUCCACAGGAGUGGGGUAUUUAUGCAACUCUUCUCAUCAGAUGUUGGUGCAGGCUGCCUGGCCUGAACAUGGUCAAGUUAGAAACCCACGCAGUCUGGCCUCUGGGCCCCGUGCUUUAACCACCGCAUGAUUUCUAGCGAAAUUCUCUGCCCAUCCCCAGCAAACCUUCCUUCCCAUUUUCCUCCUUGGGAGACAACUUGCGAGCCUGAAGGGCCCCGUGGUCCAAUCUGUAUUUGUCCUGUCUUCUGUCGGCAUCCUUCUGGCCCGGCAGGGAAGGGGGUGGUCACUUAGCAUCUACCUAGACAUAGUCCUCUCUCCUCCCCAGGCUCAAAGGCUAGCCUCUGCCUGGUUGCCUCAUCACGUCCUGAACCCCAUAGUUUCCAGUUCCCAUAAGCUUGAUCCCAAUUCUGAGCUUAGGGCCUCCCUGGGAUUGGUUACUGCUCGCACAGGUCCAGAGGAGAGCCCCGGCCUCCUUCCUCUUGUGGCCCCACCUCACUCCCCACCUGCCUGCUGCCAAGCUCGCGUUUCGCUGCAGGGAGGCCUAGCAGAGGGGCAGGUGGCACACACCCACCUAGAGAGGUGCCCGUGCAGGUUAGAGGUUGGUCUUUCCUUGUGUCCCUGCAGCUCUUGCUCCCUGACGUUCCCUGGGUGUGUCCGCUGCAGCCUUAGCUGCUGUUGGACAAGUUCCCGUCUGUGAUCAGAACAAAACCCGCAUCAGCGCCUGCCCCGUGCAUCUGCCUCCCAUCUCUCCAGGGAGGGCUCUGUUUAUCUUAUAUUUUCUAAAUAUUCACUUAUUACUUAUCCAUUCCUUAGAAUUCUGUCAUUUGCAGCAGGGAUUUAUUUGAUUCUUUGUUGUUACCUUUUUGACUUUUUAUUACGGAAAACGUCAGACACAGAAGAGGACCACAGAAAGGCCGUCAUCACCAUCUUUCACAAUUAUCAAUUUGCUACCGUCUCGGUCCAUCUGCCUCCGUGCUUUUUUUGCUGGAGUAUUUCAGAACAAACCACAUACAUGUCAUUUUACCUAAUGUUCUCUUGUUAAGUUUUCUAACUUUUUAUGACUUUUUAAGUAAUUUUAGACUUACAGAAAAGUUACAGAAAAUGCUUCACUCAGCUUCCUCUGAUGUUAAAUCUUACAUAACCACAGUGCAAUGAUCAAAACCAGGAAAUUUACAUAGCACCAUUACCUAAACUACAGACCUUAUUCAAAUUCUGCCAGUUUUCCCACUAAUGUCCUUUUUCUGGUGCAAGAUCCUACCUUGUGUUUAAUUGUCGUGUCGAUGAGCACUGGAUGUUAUAUGUAAGUGAUGAGUCACUAAAUUCUAUUCCUGAAAUCAUCAUUAUACUAUAUGUUAACUAAGUUGGAUUUAAAUUUAAAAAUAAUAAUUUUAAAACAAUUUAAAAAAAUGGCGUGUCUCCUUAGUCUCCUUCAAUCUGGGACAGCUUCUCAGUCAUUCCUGGUCUUUUGUGACCUUCACUCUUGACGAAUCCUGGUCAGGUAUUUUGUAGAAUGUCCUUCAAUUUGGGUUUAAUGUUUUCUCUAUUAACUUCUCUAUACGCUAUAUUCAGAGCUAACAGUGGAGCUAGACCAAAUUUCCCUAUUUAGAACUAUAGAUCGAGGUCGUGUGUUUGGGUAAGAAGAUGACAGAAGUGAGGUGCCCUCCUCAGUGCAUCAUUGUCAAGGGGUACAUGAGGUCAGUAAGUUAUCACUGGUGAUGGUAACGUCGAUUACUUGUUUCAGGGGCUGUCUGCCAGGCUCCUGUGCCGUAAAAGUUCUAUUUUUUGCCUUCGUAAUAGAUAUGUAUCUCACAGGGAGACAGUUUGAGACUAUGCAAAUAUCCUAGUUCUCGUCAUAUUUCCACGCACUAAUUUUAGCAGUCCGGCAGUGGAUCUUGCCUGGAACCAUUAUUACUGUGAUGUUGGCCAAAUGGCGAUUUUCUGUUUCCGUCACUGCUUCUACAUUGACUAAUUGGAAUUCUACUGUAAGAAAGAUCUGUUCCUUUGUCCUUAUUUAUUUACUCAAUUGUGUAUUCGUAUCAGUAUUGACUCUUGCAUACUUACUGUGUUCUCUGGGUUCUAAUCCAUUCCUAUUGCUUUAAAAAAAAUUUUUUUAAUGUUUAUUUUUGAUAUAUGUAGAGAGACAGAGCAUGAGU